rnacentral:tRNA from 1 species
UCGGGGCAUAGCUCAGCUGGAUAGAGCAGCGGACUUCUAAUCCGCAGGUCGAAGGUUCGAAUCCUUCUGUCUCGACCAA